GACGAACGCUGGCGGCGUGCUUAACACAUGCAAGUCGAACGGAAAGGCCCUGCUUUUGUGUGGUGCUCGAGUGGCGAACGGGUGAGUAACACGUGAGUAACCUGCCCUUGACUUUGGGAUAACUUCUGGAAACUGGGGCUAAUACCGGAUAGGAGCUCCUGCUGCAUGGUGGGGGUUGGAAAGUUUCGGCGGUUGGGGAUGGACUCGCGGCUUAUCAGCUUGUUGGUGGGGUAGUGGCUUACCAAGGCUUUGACGGGUAGCCGGCCUGAGAGGGUGACCGGCCACAUUGGGACUGAGAUACGGCCCAGACUCCUACGGGAGGCAGCAGUGGGGAAUAUUGCACAAUGGGCGGAAGCCUGAUGCAGCAACGCCGCGUGCGGGAUGACGGCCUUCGGGUUGUAAACCGCUUUCGCCUGUGACGAAGCGAGAGUGACGGUAAUGGGAAAAGAAGCACCGGCUAACUACGUG
rnacentral:rRNA from 1 species